rnacentral:rRNA from 1 species
UGAUAGGUUGGGUGUGUAAGCGCUGUGAGGCGUUGAGCUAACCAAUACUAAUUGCCCGUGAGGCUUGACCAU